rnacentral:rRNA from 1 species
AGACGUCUACAUUAGAUACCCCGGUAGUCCAGGGUGUAAACGCUGCAGACUUGGUGUUGGGAAGUCCUUUGGGGGCAUUCAGUGCCGGAGAGAAGUUGUUAAGUCUGCUACUUGGGGAGUACGUCCGCAAGGAUGAAACUUAAGGAAUUGCGGGGAGCACCACAACGGGUGGAGCCUGCGGUUUAAUUGGACUCAACGCCGGAAAUCUCACCGGAUAGGACAGACAUAUGAUAGUCGGGCUGAAGACUCUACUUGAUGAUCUG